UAACUUUUUUUGGCUUUGAUACAAAAUUCUGUCCAGAUUAACCAUGGCAACCCAUCUACCUUGAUAAACAGAAGUUUAAAACUCAAUUUUUAUUUAAAAGACAAGAGUAGAUGUAGACUGCUUUUUUUCACCUUAAAUUGUCUAUGUCUGUAAUUUGCUUUGUUUUAGAUAUUGAUAACUCACAUAUUCUAUGCACAGGAUUAAUACUUUGAUAAUAUUUGAAAUAGGUAUAUUGAGGAAAAAAUUGCACAUCCUUGGCCACCCAUUGAAAUGACAACUUUUGGUCACAAUCCAUGAGUUAAUAACCACUGAGAUACUGUAUGCAGAAUACUUUUAACUAUUUAAGAGAGAGAGAGAGAGAGAGAGAGAGAGAGAGAGAGAGAGAAGAGAGAGAGAGAGAGAGAGAGCAUAGCCAAAUGUACUCUUACAAUGUAGAGAUAUAUUGUGUGAGUACAUGUGCAUAGUCAGUUUAUCUCAUUUGCCCAUAGCAUUUUUUAGUUAUUGUGUGCGUGAAGUCUAUUGUUUCUUUAGUAAACCAAUGAGUUUGUAGGACAGUGUGCGCAAUACAUACACACUACUUUGAUGACAUCAGCUGAUAUAUAUAUAUAUAUAUAUAUAUAUAUAUAUAUAUAUAUAUAUAUAUAUAUAUAUAUAUAUAUAUAUAUAUAUAUAUAUAUAUAUAUAUAUUGUGUUCAGUUUGCAAUAAUGUAUUUAUUAUUCCUGAAAAUGGUGGUAGACAUCAACAGGGCUAUAUGUAUAAUUUGUCUUAAGUACAGCAGGCUGCUAAAAUUACUGAAGCAAGGUUCUGCUUUUUUUUUUGUUGCAUUUUUUCUCAAAUAAAUUACAUUUAUUGUA